rnacentral:antisense_RNA from 1 species
AAUAACCAAAUAACUUGGGCUAAGGGCCAGGUUGAUAAUUUUUCUUGCAUCUUCUCACCCCCUGAGCCCAAGUAUCAUACACGCCCUCAAAAGAAAGAACUUUGAAUAUUAGAAAAAAACCACCUAUACAUAAUAAAAUUAAGUGAAUACUCAAAAUGCUAGUCAUUUUAUUUAUAUCUUUAUA